rnacentral:rRNA from 1 species
UACGGGGGGGGCAAGCGUUGUUCGGAAUUACUGGGCGUAAAGGGCCAGUAGGCGGCCAACUAAGUCCGACGUGAAAUCCCUAGGCUUAACCUAGGAACUGCGUCGGAUACUGGAUGGCUUGAAUUCGGGAGAGGGAUGCAGAAUUCCAGGUGUAGCGGUGAAAUGCGUAGAUAUCUGGAGGAACACCGGUGGCGAAGGCGGCAUCCUGGACCGGCAUUGACGCUGAGGCGCGAAAGCCAGGGGAGCAAACGGGG